ACGCUGGCGGCAGGCUUAACACAUGCAAGUCGAGCGGUAACAGAAAGUAGCUUGCUACUUUGCUGACGAGCGGCGGACGGGUGAGUAAUGCCUGGGAAUAUGCCUUGAUGUGGGGGAUAACUAUUGGAAACGAUAGCUAAUACCGCAUAAUGUCUUCGGACCAAAGAGGGGGAUCUUCGGACCUCUCGCGUCAAGAUUAGCCCAGGUGAGAUUAGCUAGUUGGUGGGGUAAGAGCUCACCAAGGCGACGAUCUCUAGCUGGUCUGAGAGGAUGAUCAGCCACACUGGAACUGAGACACGGUCCAGACUCCUACGGGAGGCAGCAGUGGGGAAUAUUGCACAAUGGGCGAAAGCCUGAUGCAGCCAUGCCGCGUGUAUGAAGAAGGCCUUCGGGUUGUAAAGUACUUUCAGUCGUGAGGAAGGGUGUGCAGUUAAUAGCUGUACAUCUUGACGUUAGCGACAGAAGAAGCACCGGCUAACUCCGUGCCAGCAGCCGCGGUAAUACGGAGGGUGCGAGCGUUAAUCGGAAUUACUGGGCGUAAAGCGCAUGCAGGUGGUUCAUUAAGUCAGAUGUGAAAGCCCGGGGCUCAACCUCGGAACCGCAUUUGAAACUGGUGAACUAGAGUGCUGUAGAGGGGGGUAGAAUUUCAGGUGUAGCGGUGAAAUGCGUAGAGAUCUGAAGGAAUACCAGUGGCGAAGGCGGCCCCCUGGACA
rnacentral:rRNA from 1 species